ACGGGAGGCAGCAGUGGGGAAUAUUGGGCAAUGGGCGCAAUCCUGACCCAGCAACGCCGCGUGAAGGAAGAAGGCUUUCGGGUUGUAAACUUCUUUUAUCAGGGACGAAGAAAGUGACGGUACCUGAUGAAUAAGCCACGGCUAACUACGUGCCAGCAGCCGCGGUAAUACGUAGGGAGCGAGCGUUAUCCGGAAUUACUGGGUGUAAAGGGAGUGUAGGCGGGACUGUAAGUCAGAUGUGAAAUAUGCCGGCUCAACUGGCAGACUGCAUUUGAAACUGCGGUUCUUGAGUGAAGUAGAGGUAAGCGGAAUUCCUAGUGUAGCGGUGAAAUGCGUAGAUAUUAGGAGGAACACCAGUGGCGAAGGCGGCUUACUGGACGAUAACUGACGUUGAGGCUCGAAAGCGUGGGGAGCAAACAGGAUUAGAUACCCUGGUA
rnacentral:rRNA from 1 species